CGAAAAGAGAUCACGGAUGGCAUGAAAGUUGAGGAUGUACUGAGGAAAUACCCUUUUUUGGGAACACCUUCAGGCCUGUGGGAAGAGGUUGACAGAAUCCAUCCAUCUGCUGUGAACCUGUGCCAUCGCUUGAAAGAGGGCUUUACCUGCAUAGUACCAAAAGUGAUCAAGCUGGUGGAAGGAAAAUCCACAUUGGCCAAAAUUUACUCUGAACUUAGGGAGGAACUGCUGGCAGAACAACUACCAGAAGUUGACUUUCGUGCAGCGCUAGUCUUGCUUCCCCUCAUCUUUAAAGAAAAGGUGGACCACUUCAUUUCAGUAGGACAGCGUGUUAGUUGGAGUCCCUAUCCAACUGUACAACUGGGAGACAGUGACUGGAAAAUGGCCUUUGCCAGGAAGGUUCCCAUUUCAGUCAGGGUGGAUGGUGUGGAUCUGUGCCAAGGAACAGGAGUUGAAGAGGGGGUAAUUGCAGCCUUCUGUGCCUACUUUGUUUUCAACCUGGCUUACCCACCCUACUUGAAGAAGACGCUGACCUUUCUCCAACGCACUAUACUGAACAUUACUGAGGUGGGUGACAAGGCCCUUCCAGUCACCAUUACCAGAACAAUCAAUCUACUCUUCUAAAUAUGCCUCGACCAUAUAGAUGUCCCAAGUGUAGAAGAACCACCUUCACCUUAAUGAAACUGAUUCAACAUGUUAGUCUUAUCCAUGCACAUGAAUCCAACUUUAAUAUCAAUUGUGGACUAAAUGGCUGUAAGACAUCUUUUACAUUGUAUGAGUCUUACAGGCGUCAUGUGUACCGAAAGCACACGGAACAUUUUCUCAAAUGUGUUGUUUUCUCAUUUUCUCAAACCAACGUUCUUGAUGAAUUUGAGAUCGUGAUAGGGACAAGUACACAUACCCUACUUUCAUCGCUCCCACUUGGGCUACAAAGAUGUCUUGUUGAUAUACAAGGAAGUGAGAAUGCAUUUAAAAACAUGCAGCGUGUUUCAGGGGUCUUUGUUGACAGUGUAAAAUAUGCAUGUAAAGAUGUUUUCAUUGUUGAUUACUUGCAUGCAGAGGAUAUUCCUCUUUUUUUCAUGAUCAAAUAUAUUUUAAAUGUUAACACACUGUGGUUUCUGUGUGGAAAGCUUCUUAUCCCAACUGUUUAUGAUUCACACCUGCAUGCAUACAGAGUCAGUGUUGAUCUGGAAUGGAGUGUAAUCAAACCAGGAC
rnacentral:lncRNA from 1 species